ACGAACGCUGGCGGCGUGCUUAACACAUGCCAGUCGAACGGAAAGGCCCUGCUUUUGUGGGGUGCUCGAGUGGCGAACGGGUGAGUAACACGUGAGUAACCUGCCCUUGACUUUGGGAUAACUUCAGGAAACUGGGGCUAAUACCGGAUAGGAGCUCCUGCGGCAUGGUGGGGGUUGGAAAGUUUCGGCGGUUGGGGAUGGACUCGCGGCUUAUCAGCUUGUUGGUGGGGUAGUGGCUUACCAAGGCUUUGACGGGUAGCCGGCCUGAGAGGGUGACCGGCCACAUUGGGACUGAGAUACGGCCCAGACUCCUACGGGAGGCAGCAGUGGGGAAUAUUGCACAAUGGGCGGAAGCCUGAUGCAGCAACGCCGCGUGCGGGAUGACGGCAUUCGGGUUGUAAACCGCUUUCGCCUGUGACGAAGCGUGAGUGACGGUAAUGGGUAAAGAAGCACCGGCUAACUACGUG
rnacentral:rRNA from 1 species